rnacentral:rRNA from 1 species
UACGUAGGGCGCAAGCGUUGUCCGGAAUUAUUGGGCGUAAAGAGCUCGUAGGCGGUCUGUCACGUCGGAUGUGAAAGCCCGGGGCUUAACCCCGGGUCUGCAUUCGAUACUGGCAGACUAGAGUGUGGUAGGGGAGAUCGGAAUUCCUGGUGUAGCGGUGAAAUGCGCAGAUAUCAGGAGGAACACCGGUGGCGAAGGCGGAUCUCUGGGCCAUUACUGACGCUGAGGAGCGAAAGCUAGGGGAGCGAACAGG